UCCGGUUGAUCCUGCCGGACCCGACUGCUAUCAGAGUGGGACUAAGCCAUGCGAGUCAACGCAGCAAUGCGUGGCAUACGGCUCAGUAACACGUAGUCAACAUGCCCAGGGGACGUGGAUAACCUCGGGAAACUGAGGAUAAACCGCGAUAGGCCAAGGUUUCUGGAAUGGAUCAUGGCUGAAACCUAUAUGGCCCCUGGAUUGGACUGCGGCCGAUCAGGCUGUUGGUGAGGUAAUGGCCCACCAAACCUGUAACCGGUACGGGCUCUGAGAGGAGGAGCCCGGAGAUGGGCACUGAGACAAGGGCCCAGGCCCUAUGGGGCGCAGCAGGCGCGAAACCUCUGCAAUAGGCGAAAGCUUGACAGGGUUACUCUGAGUGAUGUCCGCUAAGGGCAUCUUUUGGCACUUCUAAAAAUAGUGUAGAAUAAGGGGUGGGCAAGUCUGGUGUCAGCCGCCGCGGUAAUACCAGCACCCCGAGUGGUCGGGACGAUUAUUGGGCCUAAAGCAUCCGUAGCCGGUUCUGCAAGUCUUCCGUUAAAUCCACCUGCUCAACAGAUGGGCUGCGGAGGAUACUACAGGGCUAGGAGGCGGGAGAGGCAAGCGGUACUCAGUGGGUAGGGGUAAAAUCCUCUGAUCCACUGAAGACCACCAGUGGCGAAGGCGGCUUGCCAGAACGCGCUCGACGGUGAGGGAUGAAAGCUGGGGGAGCAAACCGGAUUAGAUACCCGGGUAGUCCCAGCUGUAAACGAUGCAGACUCGGUGAUGGGUUGGCUUCGAGCCAACCCAGUGCCGCAGGGAAGCCGUUAAGUCUGCCGCCUGGGGAGUACGGUCGCAAGACUGAAACUUAAAGGAAUUGGCGGGGGAGCACCACAAGGGGUGAAGCCUGCGGUUCAAUUGGAGUCAACGCCGGAAAUCUUACCGGGAGCGACAGCAGAGUGAAGGUCAAGCUGAAGACUUUACCAGACAAGCUGAGAGGUGGUGCAUGGCC
rnacentral:rRNA from 1 species